rnacentral:rRNA from 1 species
UAGAUCCUGAAACCGUAUGCGUACAAGCAGUCGGAGCCCGCCAGGGUGACGGCGUACCUUUUGUAUAAUGGGUCAGCGACUUACAUCUCAGCGGCAAGCUUAACCGAAGAGGGGAGGCGUAGCGAAAGCGAGUCUUAAAUGGGCGUUUGAGUCGUUGGGAGUAGACCCGAAACCGGGCGAUCUACCCAUGGCCAGGGUGAAGGUGCGGUAACACGCGCUGGAGGCCCGAACCCACGUCUGUUGAAAAAGACGGGGAUGAGCUGUGGGUCGGAGUGAAAGGCUAAUCAAGCCCGGAGAUAGCUGGUUCUCCCCGAAAGCUAUUUAGGUAGCGCCUCGCGUCUCACUCUCGGGGGUAGAGCACUGUUUCGGCUAGGGGGUCAUCCCGACUUACCAAACCGAUGCAAACUCCGAAUACCGAGAAGUGCAAUCGCGGGAGACAGACGGCGGGUGCUAACGUCCGUCGUCAAGAGGGAAACAACCCAGACCGCCAGCUAAGGUCCCUAAAUCAUGGCUCAGUGGGAAACGAUGUGGGAAGGCCCAGACAGCCAGGAGGUUGGCUUAGAAGCAGCCACCCUUUAAAGAAAGCGUAAUAGCUCACUGGUCGAGUCGGCCUGCGCGGAAGAUUCAACGGGGCUUAAGCCAUGUACCGAAGCUGCGGAAGCACGUUUACGUGCUUGGUAGGGGAGCGUUCCGUAAGCCUGUAAAGGUGUGCUGUAAGGUAUGCUGGAGGUAUCGGAAGUGCGAAUGCUGACAUGAGUAACGAUAAAGGGGGUGAGAGUCCCCCUCGCCGAAAGCCCAAGGUUUCCUGCGCAACGUUCAUCGGCGCAGGGUUAGUCGGCCCCUAAGGCGAGGCCGAAAGGCGUAGUCGGUGGGAAGCGGGUUAAUAUUCCCGCACCUGCUGUUACUGCGAUGGGGGGACGGAGAAGGCUAGGUCAUCCGGGCGACGGUCGUCCCGGUUCAAGCGUGUAGGCAGAUCCCUUAGGCAAAUCCGGGGGGUUAAUGCUGAGGCGUGACGACGAGCCUCCACGGAGGCGAAGUGAUUGAUGCCAAGCUCCCAAGAAAAGCCUCUAAGCUUCAGGUAACAGGGGACCGUACCCCAAACCGACACAGGUGGGCAGGGUGAGAAUCCCCAGGCGCUUGAGAGAACUCUGGUGAAGGAACUAGGCAAAAUAGUACCGUAACUUCGGGAGAAGGUACGCCCCUAGUACGUGAAGGCCCAGCGGCCGGAGCGGACGGGGGUUGCAGUGACCAGGUGGCUGCGACUGUUUACUAAAAACACAGCACUCUGCAAACGCGUAAGCGGACGUAUAGGGUGUGACGCCUGCCCGGUGCCGGAAGGUUAAGUGAUGGGGUUAGCCGCAAGGCGAAGCUCUUGAUCGAAGCCCCGGUAAACGGCGGCCGUAACAAUAACGGUCCUAAGGUAGCGAAAUUCCUUGUCGGGUAAGUUCCGACCUGCACGAAUGGCGUAACGAUGGCCACGCUGUCUCCACCAGAGACUCAGUGAAAUUGAAAUCUCGGUUAAGAUGCCGAGUACCCGCGGCUAGACGGAAAGACCCCGUGAACCUUUACUAUAGCUUCACACGGGACUUUGAAUCGACU